GACGGAGGAGGCAAGCAUUGUCCGGAAUUAUUGGGCGUAAAGAACACGUAGGCGGUUUGUCAAGUCAUAUGUGAAAACCUUGGGCUUAACUUAAGGAUUGCAUAUGAUACUGGCAAACUAGAGUAUAGUAGAGGAAAGCGGAAUUCCUGGUGUAGCGGUGAAAUGCGCAGAUAUCAGGAAGAACACCAGUGGCGAAAGCGGCUUUCUGGACUGUUACUGACGCUGAGGUGUGAAAGCUAGGGGAGCGAAC
rnacentral:rRNA from 1 species